CACCACAGAAGGUAAUAGUCCUGUAUGUUAAACGAGAAGACUUUAGAUAUGAUCCAGAGUACCACGGGACACGUGAAACCCUGUGGGAAGCAGGAGGGACCACCCUCCAAGGCUAAAUACUACCUAGGGACCGAUAGCGUAUAGUACCGUGAGGGAAAGGUGAAAAGAACCCCGGGAGGGGAGGGAAAUAGAACCUGAAACCCUGCACUUACAAGCUGUGGAAGCACA
rnacentral:rRNA from 1 species